rnacentral:rRNA from 1 species
AGUGAACGCUGGCGGUAGGCCUAACACAUGCAAGUCGAACGGCAGCACAGUAAGAGCUUGCUCUUACGGGUGGCGAGUGGCGGACGGGUGAGGAAUACAUCGGAAUCUACUUUUUCGUGGGGGAUAACGUAGGGAAACUUACUCUAAUACCGCAUACGACCUACGGUUGAAAGCAGGGGAGCUUCGGACCUUGCGCGAUUGAAUGAGCCGAUGUCGGAUUAGCUAGUUGGCGGGGUAAAGGCCCACCAAGGCGACGAUCCGUAGCUGGUCUGAGAGGAUGAUCAGCCACACUGGAACUGAGACACGGUCCAGACUCCUACGGGAGGCAGCAGUGGGGAAUAUUGGACAAUGGGCGCAAGCCUGAUCCAGCCAUACCGCGUGGGUGAAGAAGGCCUUCGGGUUGUAAAGCCCUUUUGUUGGGAAAGAAAAGCAGCAGGUUAAUACCCCGCUGUUCUGACGGUACCCAAAGAAUAAGCACCGGCUAACUUCGUG